rnacentral:rRNA from 1 species
AUUGAACGCUGGCGGCAGGCCUAACACAUGCAAGUCGAGCGGAGCGGCGGACGGGUGCGUAAUGCUUAGGCAUCUGCAUGGUAGUGGGGGAUGACGUUCAGUAACGGGCGCUAAUACUGCAUCCUCUCAGAUGAGCAUAGGUCGGUUUAGCUAGAUGGUGGGGUAAGGGCCUACCAAGGCGACGAUCCGUAACUGGUCUGAGAGUAUGAUCAGUCACACUGUAACUGAGACACGGUCCAGACUCCUACGGGAGGCAGCAGUGGGGAAUAUUGGACAAUGGGCGAAAGCCUGAUGCAGCCAUGCCGCGUGUGUGAAGAAGGCCUUCGGAUUGUAAAGCACUUUAAGUUGGGAGGCGUUACCAACAGAAUAAGCACCGGCUAACUUCGUGCCAGCAGCCGCGGUAAUUC